CUGAUCUCAAAUCAGGUAGGACUACCCGCUGAACUUAA
rnacentral:rRNA from 2 species